rnacentral:lncRNA from 1 species
CUUUGCCCGUGCUCAUGGCAAGCUGGGACUGGAUUGGGACUGGAGGAGAGGAGGUUCCAGAUGCAGGAAGCAAGCAGGAGCCCCUGCUGGAUGCACAGGGGGCAACGAGACCCCUGCAGGGUUCAGGAGCAGGUGGGGACUGGGAGGGAGAGACUUGCCUUCAGCCUCCAGCAUAUCCUGGUUACAGAACCUUCCAGAUAUGAUGAUUUGUGACCCAUUUCCUGUUGUGCUAGCCCACAUUGCACCCAGUUCUGCAGACCACGCGGGGACAUCUUGCUGCCUAUUGGGAGGGGCAUGUGUGGGGUGCCCUCCGCGACCACCAGACGCCAGCACUCUGCCAGCCUUGCUGUGGGCGCCCAGACACGGCUGAGCGGGUUCCUCACAGCUCCUCAACCUGCCUCUUAGAACUGCAUCAGCUCAGAGGAGAGAGACCCAGCCUGCCCUGCGGGCCAGGCACACGAGCAGAAGCCACUGCUGCACGGCGCCCUCGCCCACCCCUCCUGCCUGCGCCUCCCCAGGAGCAGGUGCCCAAGGGGCCUGUGCCAAAGAAGCCACACACACCAGCCUCCAUCCCAGCCCGAGAACGGCAGGGAGCCCUUCCCUCUCCCUCACCUGCUGCCCAACGACCUCCACAGUUCUGUUUUCUCCAUUCAAACCCAACUUUAUUCAGGCUAAUUUUCCCCCACUUCUAUCUCCCAAGCAUGACCCUGAGCCAGAAGGAAAUAAAGAAGA